rnacentral:rRNA from 1 species
UACGAAGGGGGCUAGCGUUGCUCGGAAUCACUGGGCGUAAAGCGCACGUAGGCGGCUUUUUAAGUCAGGGGUGAAACCCUGGAGCUCAACUCCAGAACUGCCUUUGAUACUGAGAGGCUCGAGUCCGGGAGAGGUGAGUGGAACUGCGAGUGUAGAGGUGAAAUUCGUAGAUAUUCGCAAGAACACCAGUGGCGAAGGCGGCUCACUGGCCCGGUACUGACGCUGAGGUGCGAAAGCGUGGGGAGCAAACAGG